CAGCCCGUCCGCCCGCGGCGGGGCCGGCCCUUCGCCCGCCCACCAGCCCCGCGCUAGCCGCCCACCUCUCGCUGCCCGCUGCCCGCCGCCCGCCGCCCGCCGCCCCGGCCCGCCGCGCGCGCUCCAUGGCUGCUCAGGAGUGGGACUGGUUCCAGCGCGAGGAGCUCAUCGGGCAGAUCAGCGACAUCCGUGUGCAAAACCUGCAAGUGGAGAGGGAAAACGUGCAGAAGAGGACUUUCACACGAUGGAUAAACCUACACCUCGAAAAGUGUGACCCACCUCUAGAAGUUACGGACCUGUUUGUUGAUAUUCAAGAUGGCAAAAUCCUAAUGGCUCUGUUAGAAGUCCUCUCUGGGCGAAAUCUGCUGCAUGAAUACAAAUCCUCAUCACAUCGUAUUUUUCGGUUGAACAACAUAGCGAAAGCACUCAAGUUUCUGGAAGAUAGCAAUGUCAAGCUGGUUAGCAUCGAUGCAGCGGAAAUAGCGGACGGCAACCCCUCGCUGGUUCUCGGGCUGAUAUGGAACAUCAUUCUCUUCUUCCAGAUAAAGGAGCUCACGGGCAACCUCAGCAGGAGUUCUCCAUCUUCCAGCUUGUCACCGGGCUCUGGGGGCACCGACUCCGACUCUUCCUACCCACCCACCCCCACCACCGAGAGGAGUGUGGCAGUGGCAGUGAAAGACCAGAGGAAGGCCAUCAAGACCCUGCUGUCAUGGGUGCAGAGGAAAACCAGGAAGUAUGGUGUGGCAGUCCAAGACUUUGCAGGCAGCUGGAGGAGUGGCCUGGCUUUCCUGGCUGUCAUCAAAGCUAUUGACCCCAGCCUUGUAGACAUGAAGCAGGCUCUGGAAGAUUCCACCCGGGACAAUCUGGAAAAGGCCUUCAGCAUUGCCCAUGAUUCCCUGCAUAUCCCGAGGCUCCUGGAGCCGGAAGACAUCAUGGUUGACAUGCCAGAUGAGCAGUCCAUUGUGACAUACGUGGCCCAGUUUCUAGAGCGCUUUCCAGAGUUGGAGCCUGAAGAUUUUGUGAAUCCGGACAAAGAAGCCCCCAUCGAGUCCACCUUUGUCCGCAUCAAAGAAAGCCCCUCUGAGCAGGGGAGCAGAGUCCUCCUCCUCAGCGAGAACGGAGAGCGGGCCUACACUGUCAACCAGGAAACCAGCUACCCGCCGCCUGACAAGGUCUUCGUCUGUGACCAGCUUGAGAGUCCGACUGGCUUCUGUCUGGAUAGUGCUCCCAGCCACAAACUGUCAGACAGCUCCACAGAGUUUAUGCAUGAGAUUAUUGACCAAGUCCUCCAGGGGAGCACGGGGAAGACUGGCUCCAUCGCAGAGCCAACUCCAGAGUCGUCCAUUUUGUCAACCAGAAAGGACGGCAGGAGGUCCAACUCUUUGCCUGUCAAGAAAACCGUCCACUUCGAGGCAGACUUGCACAAGGAUGCCUCGUGUAGUAAGGACCCUUUCUAUAGCUCUGACUUCCGCUUCGAGGGGAGCCCCAAGGCAACCAAGGAGCUGUCAAAGCAGGACGGCCAUGUCUCACUGGCUGAGGUGUCCAAGGAAAAGAAGAAGUCAGAACAGGAAGCCAGGCUAGUGCUGGAAGCUGCCUCAGACAAGGUCCCCGAAAGCACGGUCGAUGGUCUGGAUGCUGUGCCCCAAGAUGCUCAGCCUUCCCAGGACUCCUCCUUCUGUAACGGCACUGUAGAGAGCCCAUCCAGCCAAGGUGAGAAAGGCCCUCCUCCAUCAUCCCCUGGAGAUCAUACUCUCCUGGCCAACUCCACUGAGCUCAAGGUUCAGCUGCUGACCGUUGAGCCUAUGGACAAGGAAGACUACUUUGAAUGCAUCCCACUAAAAGCUUCAAAGUUUAACAGGGACCUAGUGGAUUUCGCCUCCACCAGCCAGGCUUUUGGUGAGGAUCCUUCGUCCCACGAGAAGACCCGUGGGGAGGAAGAGGGUUCUGAGAAUCACGCUGAGAAACCAGGGAAAAGGAAAUCAAAGUCUCCCCGUGCAGAAACAGAGGCCGCCGAGUCCAGAUUGGAGCCCAAGAAGCUCGAGCCUCCUCCCAAGGAUCCCGAACAAGAAGACCAAGGCCACGCUUUGCCCCCGGAAACCCCUGCAGACAAAAAGCCCAAAGUGUAUGAAAAGGCCAAGAGAAAGUCCACUCGUCAUCACAGCGAGGAAGAAGGAGAAGCAGAAAGUGGCUUCUCUGCAGUCUGUGAAGAAGAAAUACCAUCCGCCCCUCCCAGCACCAGCGUCAGCCUGGAAACCCUCAGGAGUCACAGCGAAGAAGGUUUGGAUUUCAAACCUUCGCCGCCGCUCUCGAAGAUCUCUGUCAUCCCCCACGACCUGUUCUACUACCCUCACUACGAAGUGCCCCUGGCCGCUGUGCUGGAGGCUUACGCGGAAGGCGGGGAGGAUUUGAAAAGUGAAGACACAGACCUAGAGCAUCCAGAGGACAGCUAUCUGCAGGACUCCAGGGAGGAGGAGGCCGACGAGGACGAGGAGGAGGCCCAGAGCUCUCAAAGCAGCUGCAGUUUCUCCUUGCCUGUUGACAACAGCUACCCCAGCGUCAGUGAGCAUGUGUCCCAUGUCGAUGGGAGUUCUGAGGGACCCACGUCAGCCUUGGGACCUGGCUCUCCACCCUCUCAUGAGGACCACCAGCCAAAGGAAACCAAAGAGAAUGGCCCUGUGGAAAGCCAGCAGUCCCAAGAACCCCCAAACCCGGAACUGCCCACAAAGCCAUUAGAAGAAAAGUUAACGGAAGCCUCAACUAGCAGUAAAAAGAAGGAAAAACGGAAACACAUGGACCACGUAGAAAGCUCAUUAUUUAUAGCCCCUGGGACGGUCCGCUCCUCAGACGACCUUGAAGAAAACUCCAGCGAACACAAGGUCCCUUCCAGAACAGUCAUUCCUUUCCUUUAAGAUUUUUGGUAGUUCUGGGGAUUGAACCACAGCCUCAUGCAUGCUAGGAGGUGAGCUAGGAAUAGUCACAGUGACUCCAGCAUUUACAUUCGGCGACACACUAAUAGGUCUUUGGAAUUGAGUUUUCAUCUUUACUAAUUGGGUUGCGGGGUUUUGUUUAUAAAUUUCACUGUAGGACCAUUUUAGCUAUGUUCAAUUGAGGAACGCAGCUGAUCUGGAUGACAGGAGAAACAGAGUGUUAAACAGGUACAAUUCUCAGAAGCUCACUGAGCUGAUUUUACAGUUCUACGGCAUCAGAGCAGACAUGAAGCGCGAGUACAAACAUGCCAGGCUGUCUAUGACUGGCACCAACUCCUCUGGAGAAGCUGUGCCCCUGGGGAACCAGAGCCCGCCCAACGACUCUCUGACGCAGUUUGUACAGCAGCCCGACGUGAUAUAUUUCAUUCUCUUCCUCUGGCUCCUCGUUUACUGCUUACUGCUCUUCCCACAGCUUGAUGUCAGCCGGCUCUGAAACAUGUGUCUGGAGAAUAAAAAGACAGGACCCUGGCCAGGGCGGAGUCUUUCUACCGCAUCUUACUGUCUGUUCAGGGUUGAGCCACCUGUGCAGAGAUGGAAGACGGCAGAGGGAGCACAGGCCCCACACCCCCUGUUGCUGUCCGGUUCAGUCUUUGCUCACAUGUCCUCUGAUUCUCUAAGCCCCCCUCCCAGCCCCCCCCCCCCCCCGAGAGCAUGCUUUCUUUCCAGACUGUGUGCUCCCAGCUCAGGUUUGAGGCUGGAUCUGUGGACGCGAUUCCUCCUUAUGUGCCUUGUUUGGUCAGAUGCGAGUCCUUACUAAUGUGUACCCCAAACCUGGGUCUUAACAUGUGCACAUGCAGGUUCCUAAGGUCCUGGAGGAGCUUGAGUUACUUCCUUUUAUCUCAGGGGAGGGCCUGCCCAACUCUGAGAAAGAGCGGAGUCUGUGGUAGGAAGAACGGUACCCUGUUUGCCUUCAAGUGUGAGUGUUUGAGCGAUAACCUGCCCCAGCCUGGUCAUCCAUUGCUGGGGACUUAAACAGCACAUACCUGCCCGUUCACUGGAAAUUACACCCGGCCAUUGGCAGACUCCAAAGAAGAGGGUGUUUCUGCCAGGUUUGUUGUGAGCUACAACCCAUUCGUCUUUCACCUUGGUGUUCUUGGAGGGUUGCGUUUUUAAUUCGCCUUUUUAUUGAUUGAAUUGAGGUACGGCUCUAGUUUUAAAACCUGCCCAUCAGUAGGACCUCCUAUCAGAUGAAAGCCAGUCUAGAUUUGCAUGCAAAGCAAGGCUCUGGCUGACUGGGGUAGCCCUGACUCUCCCUUCCUCUGCUGAGUCUUCUGUAUGGAACCUGUCUUUUUUGAGGGGCUGCAUGAGGUUGCCCCAGGGGGCUGGAAGUGGCCCAGCCAAAAUAAGCUCCCACAAAUGGUGGCGCUGGGAGGGUUUCUGCAGGUUUCUGGGCUCAGGAGGCAUUCGUACCUUGGCACCAGCAUCCUUUGCGGUCAACCAAACAGAGAUCUUGCAAAGGCUUUCUGGAAAGGACCAGGGUAUAGGCUGGGGCAGGCAGGUUGCAGGAAGAGAAAGGUUUCUUUUCUCACCCUCCUGUCUUCCUCGGCCCCUACCUACCCCAGUGUCCCCUGUCCACUUUGCGAAGGCUCAAGUCUGGCAAAGCUCCAGCUUCUUCUUGCCCUUGCUAUCCCUCUCAAAAAGCACACACUAGCAGGGCGUGGUGACGCACGCCUUUAAUCCCAGCACCCAGGAGGCAGAGACAGGCAGAUUUCUGAGUUCGAGGCCAGCCUGGUCUAUAAAGUGAGUUCCAGGACAGUCAGGGCUACACAGAGAAACCCUGUCUCGAACCCCCCCCCCAAAAAAAACACACUAGGCAGCCCUUAUAAAACCACAAACCGUUAGUCCAGAAUGGGCCUCAGGGAGCAUCUCUGAACUCAGAGAGGCAGAACAGGCUGGCCAAGGUCACACAGCCUAUCACAGACUGGUCACUAGCCCCCAGGCCACUUGGCCCCCGAGUCUGGAACUAUUGCUUUUUCUUUGUAGAAAACGUCCAGCCAGGUACACAAAUGUCCUCACUCAAACACAGCCGUCCUUUUUAGACCUUUUAUUAACCUCCAAGCUUAGCCUGGGCUCCUUCUAGAAUGUUCUUGACGGCUGUAAAGGCUUAUGUGUUGGUUACUACUCUUGUUGCUGUGACAAAGCAACUGAGAAAACAACUUAAGAAGAAAGGAGAGGGUCUAGGGGCUCACAGCUCCAGGAUGCGAUCCAUCAUACAGCGGGCAUCGUGGCAGCAGGAAUGUGAGGGGGCUAGUCAUGUUGUAUCGGGAGGCAGAGGAAGGGGAAGGGGGGAAAGAGUGUGUGUUAGUUCAGGUUGGGACCCCCAGUCCAGGGGAUGGUGCUGCCCACAUUCAGGGCAAGCCUUGCCUCUUUCUGGAAAGACCCUCAGAGUCACUUCCAGAGGUGUGUUUCCAUGGAUACAAUGGGAAUGAGGCAUCACAUCUUGCAUCUGACAUGAACGCUGCUCUUCACCCAGGAGUCAUUCUCCUUAAGCAAACCAACGACUCAGACAAUUUACAUAGCACAUUGAGUCAGGACAGUUAAAAACUUGGCUUCUCAGCCAUUUUGAUUGGCGUCUGCCUCCCCCUCCCCCCAAAAAAGAAUUGAAGCUUUCUAAGAGGAGAGAGGUUGGGGGCUUGGAACACUUCCAGGUUAAAGGCCCAAAGCUCCAAAGAAAGUGAACGACUUAAUGAGCUCCCUGGUCCCAUUGGAAGUUCAAAAGUACAGAUGAUAAAGGUUUUAUGUGUGAUGUUUUAUGACCUCGCACACUGCAGGGUCCUUGCCCAGAUGAGGUACCAAAGAGGAGCUGGCCCAGAUGUGAAUCGUUUAUUUUAUGGGUCUAGACCUUGGUCCGAAGUCUGCGCAUACUGCUUCUCUCGCCUCCUGUGGCUUAGAACAGCCUUUAAAACUACUACAGGCAAGAUGCCCAAGCAUCAUUCGGCUCAAACUGGCAGGAAGUUGCUAGUUGAAAGGGAAAAAUAAUCUCACUUGAGUGUAGGGGCAUGUAGAAGAGACCACUUAUGGAAAGCUGCUGGCAAGCUGUUGGUCACUCGACAUCUUUUAAAAAAUUUAUUUUUAAAGAGUGAGUGAAUGUGUGUGUGUGUGUGCGCGCGCGCGCGCAUGAAUGCAGGUACCCAUGGAGGCCCUAAGAAGGCAUCAGAUCCCCUCUGUGGGUAUGAAGAACUGAAUCAGGGUCCAGUGCAAGAGCAUCAUGUGCGCUUAACUACUGAAUCACGUCUCCAGCCUUGCUUAGUUAGCAUCUAUUAAAUAAGAAAGUGCUGUAGGUUUGAAACAAGGGCAGCUGCCCCUGAGGCUCAUUUGUGGUCAUAGUCCCUUUUGUCUACCUUUCAGCUGUUUCUCCUACUAUUCCCUUCUGUGUCCUCUCUUCCUCUUCCUUCUGUGUCCUCUCUUCCUCUUCCUUCUGUGUCCCCCCCCCCUCUGUCUGUUUUUCACCAACUUUUCGAGAAAUGGAAUGUGAGAAAUAAAAAGCUUUAGUUUUGUUUUGUUUUGUUUUGUUUUGUUUUGUUCCAUGACUUAACAUGUCUGUCUCCUGCCCUACUGUGUGGCUGGGUGUAGCUCCGCAGGUGGCAACAUAGCCCUUGCUGCUGCUUUCCAGUGGCAGACUUAAGAUUCCGAUGCCGUUUCUGCCCCAUGCCUUUGUACAAGACAAGGACUCUCCCUUCCCUGGUUGACAUCCCCAGUCUCCUUUCUCUUGGUGGCCUGACCUGAGUGUGUCCUGUCCUUUGCUGUGGCACCUAUUCUGGGUCCUCAUGGGAAACUCCUUAAAUCCUCUUACAAUUUCUUUCUUUCUGAGCCCCUGGCUGCCCCAGUAUGGGGCCUCCCUGGCUUGUCUUCUAACGUUUUUUUGUCUCUUAAAUCCCUCACCUCUGUCUGUAUCUGCUUCUGAGGGGAUUUGCUCCAUCUUCUCUUUCCAAGAAUGUUUUAUUUUUAGCUUCUAAGACUUCUUCCUUGUUCUCUGAGUUUUGUUGUGUAGCCUCCUGUUCUUGGUUCAGGAGUGUGAGUCUUCUUUGUGGCUGACGCAGCUGUUUGGGGGGAGGGGGGACAUUGUCUGCCCUCAGAUGUGCCUUUGGGUCCUCUAAGGUCCAUUUUUCUCGGUUGAGCUGGGUCGCUGUCUCUCACAUUGUGCACAGAUACCUGCAUCUACUCAUGUUUCAGGGCGAUACACCCAGGAGCUGGCAGGAUGUUCUGACAACCAUCUGGUAAGGUUCUGUCCAGUGUCGCCCAGUGAGCUGGCUUAGCUCUGAGAGGCUGCCAUGUCAGUAGUUAAAUGUUUCUUCUGGGGCUUAUUCCAUUUCCUUACAGAGCUUCCUGCCACUCCUCUGCCUGGAAAAGAGGGAUACACACAGGGCUGUUAGCCCAUGUAGUACACUUGUGCAAUACUAGUAGUGGUCCCCCUCUGGGCAGAAGCCACCCACCAUCCAUAUUUGGUUUAGUUGGCAGAGGACAGCUGUUUUCUCUAUCUCUGAGCAGACACAGCCCUCAGGUAAGACAAAGCAUGGGUUUUAACCCCCACAUGCUCCCUUGGCCAGGUGCCUUAGUGUCAAGCACAAACCAUAGGAUGGGACCCAGAUACCCCUGAGUUCUGUGUUCUGGCCUUGAAGCAGGCAGUCUCAGGAAUCACUGUGUAACCACUUGAAGCUGCUCCUGCCUUGCUUCUGUCCCUGGGCUGUGCCCUGCGAGUCCUCUAUGAAUAGGAGGCAAGACAGUCAUCUGGCUGCAAUGAGAGGGCAGGAGGCCCAAGAAUCAGCGCUGUAUCUCACCUUGCAGUCACCAUCCCAACCCACAAGCUCAUCUUGGGUGCCAAGCUGGGCAGCUCCUCAUUGCUGCCCCCUGCAGGCACAUGGUAGGGAGGACCCUUCCCUGCCUCUUUCUCAGUGGUCUUCUUCAGCUUUGAAUGGGUGGUGCCUGUGGCCUUUGGCUUAUCUUUUCCAGUCCGUGGCUCUGGAACUUUCUCUUCCUUUGCACUUCUUCCGACAGGGGAAGUAGGCAAGCACAGAUGCUCUGUACCCCAUCCUCUGUUUAGCUUUAUUACUUUUCAGUUUCAUUGUUUUGGGGGGGAGGGGUUGGAGGAGUGUGGUCUUACUAAAUAGUCCAGGCUGGCCUUGAACUCUUGAUCCUCUUUCCCCAUCUUCCCAAGUACGAGGUUACCCCGGUGCUUGGCUUUUGUGUGCCAUCUUGACCCAUAAAUGCCUUUGGGUUUUCUGGCUGGUGGGUUAGGUGGCUCGUGACCCCACUGACUUCACUGUGAACCUGUCUUGAAUGAAUCUGCUGAAGCUCUGAGACAUGAAGGGCCCUGGGAGCAUCGGGUGGCACAAGAACGCUGCGUUCACAGGUCACGGCUCAAGGUGUUCGCCUUUCUCCCUCCUUUCAAGUGUUUCCAGCUUCUCCCACAGAACACGUAGAUCUCCCAAAUCCUCGCCAGAUGUGGUCUGUGUGGUCACAUGGAUUUUAGCCCUGCUGAACCCACACCCCAGCCCUGACUCUCAUGUAGGGAACAGCUUAUCCACACUAGCAUUUGCCAGACAGCAGACAAGGUUCUCUACCAGCUGAUGUCUGGAGUUUGGGUAGAAUUUCCUCCUAAAAGCUGUGGCUUUUCCUAGCUGUUGGUGACAGGACCAGGGGACUACUGGUCAGGUGUGACUUUGGAGGAGGAAUGUGCUUCAACAGACUCUCUAACCCAGGCUGUGUUUCUCCACAGCUGGGCUCAGCUCAAAUCCAGCAGCCCACCUGCGCUGUAAGCCAUGCACCUAGAAGCCAAGGACUCUCUAAGUCCUAGUCUGUUUGGUGGCAUUGGGGGCCAUGUGAAGGUCCAGAGGUCCAGCACCAUCUUUAGAGAAGGUGUGGAGGACCAUGAGUCUUCAGCUGCAGUACCAGUCCAGACAAUUCAGUAAGAUGUUAAAAAAAAAAAAAGGAAAGACUCAGUACCUAUCUUGCCAGUGAUUUGGGGAUGGCUAUUCCUUCCCAAUUAAAGUUUGUAUAAAACUCCAGCCACCCUCAGUGAGGCCUCUGAACACCUCUGGUGCACAUCUCGCCAGAAGUCAGCCAACGAGUGGAUAGGAUUCCUUGGAAGAACAUCAUGAACCUGGCUUCCAUGGUGAGAACUGUUGCCUUCUGUGGAUGUCAUUGGCUUGGUGAUGUCCGCUCCUUCGUGUGAGUUCAUCUUUUCCUCAAACUCCAGAGGGUUCAGUGUAGUCUGAGGUCUGGCCUCCCUCUCCGUCUUGCAUGGAGACGCUGCCCUUGGGAAUCUCCACUGGCUUUCCUGUCUGGACUCUUGAUGAAGCAGAUGCAGCAUCCAGGGACUGCAGCUGAGUAGCGGCCAAGUCUUCUAGCCUUUUGUCCUGGUGAGGCAGCUGUUCUCAUGAGCACAUCUGGGAUCUAGGUCGAGUAGAGACUGUUGGUGUCUUUUUCUUAUUGGCUGAAAAUUGCUAUGGAGGUUUCCCUUACCCAUCACCCCAGAGCACUGUGCCUCCUUCCCCGAUGACGUUCACUUGACCAUGGCUUCUGCCAGCUUCUCUCUAGCCCCACACUACCAGACUUAGCGUCAGCUGCCCAGUCUUAAAUCUAGCAACUUUUACAAGAGGAAGUGUUAAGCCAUUGUAUACUUGUAAACUCACUUGGCCCUGCCAACAGUCCAGGAAAGUGUUUCCCUUCAGGAAAGAUCAAAAAAAACCACUGGACAGAAAGAUAAGGUGGUCACAGCCUAGAGCCAGCUAACUCUGACUUUUCGUGAUUAACUUUACUGCUUAGAAAAACAAGGCAAUACCCUGAGGAGACUCUGAUUCUGGGGCACCAGUCCAUUUGGGAGUUGUGGGUGGGAUUCUCGGAGCCAGCCCUUCCUUACCCUGGUACCCUAUCCCCACCCCACUGUCUUCCUGCCAAGUUUCUAUGCUUUGACCCAACCUGUGUCAUAACCGCUUAAGUCCCUGGGGAGCACAUGAUGCCCAUGGUUGGCCUUUAGCUUGUAGCAGUAAAAUCUCACAUCCAAAAUUGAACACACACCCCUCGGUAGCUUCAGUCAAUACUGAGUCCUGUCCCCGGCUGCUCUCCCCAGUCUCCACCUCCAACUUAUGUUUCUCAGAGAAAGAAUUCAGGCUUUCUCCUUCAAACACAGACCUAGAGAAAGGGAUGGGUUUAAAAGAACACAGUGGAAAACGUGUUCAACGCCAGCCCUGGUGAUGCACACCCAUAAUGCUAGCUCUGAGGAAUCUAGAGCAGGAAGGUUGCCAGCCAGGAUUAAGAAGUGAAAUCCUAUCUCAAAACAAAACAAACUGGGCGGUGGUGGCGGCGGCGCACGCCUUUAGUCCCAGCACUCAGGAGGCAGAGGCAGGCAGAUUUCUGAGUUCGAGGCCAGCCUGGUCUACAGAGUGAGUUUCAGGACAGCCAAGACUACACAGAGAAACCAUGUCUUAAAAAACUUAACAAAACAAAACAAAAACAAAAAACCAAGACCCAAAAACAAAGGAAAGGAAAAACAACCCACAAAAAUAAACUGUAAAAAAGGACUUUGGUUUUAGUGUGUGCGAAUGUUUUGCCUGCGUGCACAUAUUUGUAUUGUGUGUGCAGUGCCCUUGGAAUGUAGAAUAGGGUGCUGGAACCCCCGGAACUGGAGUUACGGAUGGUUUUGAGCCACCCUGUGAAUGCUGAGUGCCAAACCCAGGUUGUCUGUGAAACCUUCCAAAUCAUUAAAACGGGUAGAAGACCACAACUCCCUUGGAUGAAGUUAUAAUCACAGGGAUCCAUUUUUUUUUAAGUUUAAAAGUCAUGAAUUUUGCAUUGUUAUUUUUUAAAAAGGAAGGGAGAAAAGAUAGGAAACCCUUACUUGUUUCAGUGACCUCAAAAGUCAAUAGGAACAGAUUCCAAGGCUGCGUGGAAAGGACAGCCAUAAAAUGCCUGUGUUCUUAAACGCCGCAUGAGGGUUGAAGCGUGUUUUAUUUAAAGGAAAUUUGGGGAGUUCCCAAGUUUAAGACAGUCUCUGACCUGAGAACCAUACCAUGCAUCGCUCAGCACCUCAGAGAAUGCACUUAGCUCUCUGGGUGGAGGGCCACACACAAAAGCCCCCUGGGCCUUAAAGCCCCAGGCUUAAGGGGGGAGGGGGUGUCUCUUUGUUUUUAUCACAAUAAGUGGCCUGUUUGCAUCAUAAAUGCACUUGUGUAAAUGAAUGGACUGCCAAAUCUUUGUCCGGUUUGGUUUGCUGUCUGCAAAAGGUGCCUUGAGGAAGAGUUUGGUCAGCCUAGGGUAGCCUGUUUGUUACAGGGUUUGGAGUAGAACCUGGGCGUCUCUAUGCUUGCACCCCAGACAUAUUCCCAGGGGAAGUUUUUCUUUGAAAUUCAAGAAUUCAGCUAUAGGAAUAGUUAGCCAUAGGUAACUAAUCACCUGUAUCUUUCCACCCCUCCCAGACUUUUUUUCUUGCCCUAGCUAAGAGAGCUUUGUAGAGCAUCCCUGGGGUGUGGUAGGAAGGUUGGGUCUACAGUGAAGGGUGCACCUGCCUUCUGCCCUUGAAACUGGACCCUAAGAUGCUGCCUGUAUUAAUUACUUUUGUGCUGAUAACGUGAGCCAAAGAAAAAUAGGAAAAUAUUACUCCCUCCUAAGAACUGUUACAACAGGUUGUUAAGCCUGGAGGCAGGACGGUGUUCAGAGAAUACCCCUGGAAGGCUGACUGGUGUUUCAUCGUCUUUAGGCCUGGGAUAUAGUUUGGGCCUGGGACUUAAUGUUUUCCUAAUGGCACAGUGGAGGACCUUGUGGCUUGUGCCUGAAAGUUGCAGAACUGUUGGGGACAGAAGCCAAAUGUUAUUUUGUGGUACAAGGCUUAUUUUGUCUAUUUAGUUGUGAGUAGCUAUAGCUUUAUAAAAACAAAGGGAGCUUUGUAAAAAAAAAAAAAGCUGUACGAAUGUGCACUCUUAUUUAUUGAUCAUUGUAAAUGAAGAUGUAAGUGGAUAUUUGCAUAAUUUAUACCUGUAGGGAAACUCCCUGGAGUAUUUGUUACUUGACUGUUUUCUAUCAUGGGACAUUGGGCCUGGUGCUAUGAUGAAUGACCUUGUAAAAUCACGUGUAUUCUUAAGAAAAAUUUUCAAUAAAAAUUUCUUGGACUGAUCA